GUUUACACACAUACACUCCCCAUACGCGCGACGCGGGGGUUGCAGCGACCCAGCGUAUGCAAAGUCCGGAAGUAGCGGCUGCACCAGCGCUAUUUACACACCGAAAACCACGGAUACGCACCGCAACGGCACAAAAAUGUAAGGCGAUAAAGAUGAGACGCGUGUUCCGACGGGUGCGUCCGUGUAGAGCAACAUAAGAGCAAGUGGAUGCUGAACGUGCAUGGAUGCUGUAACCAUAGGCAUCGCGUGUGCAUAGCAUGCUGCAAUCUGUAAAGUGCAAAACGAAAAAUCGUGUCAUCUCCAUCAGAAUAACCAAAGUGUUGUGUAUUAGAUAAUCUAACGCGGUCAGCGUCAGUGUGUUGUGAAUAGUGUAUUUGGGCCCUCCUUCUCCUCUUCCUCCCCUUCCACUGUUUUUGAGGGACGAGGGCGGACGAGCAAACCCCCCUCCCGUGGCCGAUACCAAAGGUUCGUGUGUACAUUCCGCACCAGCGUGCGUGUAAGUGCUGUUGAAAGUAGAGUGUAUUUAGUGCUGAGUACGUGCGUGCGUGCGUGCGUGCAUCCGUUUGUGUUAGUGAGUGUACGUUGUGCGUAAGGUGUACAAAAGGACGGUUGUGUACGUGACGGUGUUUGCAUCACGCAUCGCUUAAUCUCGACCGGUUGUGACACUAGCCCCAGAAACUAACUACCACCCUCUCUUUAGUGGCGUCAAGAAGCGAAGGUAGAGAAUUUGUAAAAACAAAAAGCAGAAGAAGAAGAAAACCAUACACCGGAAACAGCUCGGUUCGAUUUCCCGGUGGUCACCAGAAAUGAACUUGCGAGACGAAUGUGAACUCGCUGCGAUCGAUUUGUGGUUAGUUUCUAGAUAAUGAAAACGCAACCCAAACCGGGCAUGUGGUAGCGGAAAGCGGAAAACUACAAAUUAACUAGAUAACUCAUUACCGUCCUCUUUAGCGUGUAAGGUGAAUUCGAACCUCGAAUUCGAAUUCGAACAUUCAACGUAAACCUGUAACUCGUACAUACUCGAAGGACGCACAUCGAAGUAGCCGCCAAUUGGUGAAAGGGCUCCCUUCGCUCCUCCUUCUCGUGUCCUCUCAACUUGCAACGUGUGUGCCAAAGCCGACGAAUGCUGUCGGUGCAAAUCCACCGAUUUACAGACCCCGAUGAGCGGAAAGGGUCAAUAUGAAUUACUCGUGAACCAGAGGGAACCAGAGAGUGAGAAUGCUACUCAGCCAAUAAAAUGCUCCAUCGUCUCCAUCUCCUGUAGCGAAUGUACAUAGAGACAAGCAGAGCGCAGAGUGUCGGGAGAAAUCAAAGUAAACGAUGAAGUGAAUCUCUGGUCUGGUGACUGGUAUGCAAAUCCGCCACCGGACGCCACACACUUUCUGCGCGAAAGUAUUGAAAACCAACUCAUCGUCAUCGUUUUGGUAUCGAACGGAGGCUUCCAAGGCAUAUGUGUGUGUGUGGCAGCAACAGUGCGACCGGAAGUAAGAGUCAAGCACCCGCACGUGACCUGUUUCCGGGCAUCGAAGUGGUUCGCGGUGCCACGCGUUGUCACUCAUAACGAUGUGGUGGCAAAGCCUGCCAUGGUCUGGUACUGCAGCAGAAGCACAAGGAGAAGCAGUAGCAGUAGCAGCAGCUGUUGCACGCUGUCCAACACAGCAACCGCACCGAAGCAAGAUGAUGGUGGCUCCUUUGGAACGGCGUUCCGUCGGUUAGCUCGAGAAGUGCCCGGCAUCCGGCCCACGAUUACCACGCGCAACUCCAACCGAUAGAGACUGUGAAGCCAACCAACGAAUUGUGUGUGAUUCGGUGUAUGUGUGUGUGCGUGUGUGUGUGUGUGCUUGGUGGUACAGGGUGGUAGCGGAGGGCGGUAGUGAGCUGGCCCCACGCCAUUACGCCAUAUAGCGGGCCUCAUGCUGGGUGGCUUGGGCUACGAUUACAACAAAUAAAUGAGUUUGGGGAACGAUUGUGACUGCUGUGUGCGUAGUGUGCACGUGUGCGCGCGGUCUGUUGCGAUUGCCUGUGAUUACCGACCGUAAGACCAUCUACUUCGACAAACGGCAGCACCAGCAGUAGCAGCAUCAAGUGUCCGUGCGUAGGUGCGUGCUGCCCGGCCCACGGUAGUGUGGUGCCGAUGCCUAGCCAAAAGGUCCCUGGAAAGCCGCGAGAAAGUUAUUUCACGCGUAAUUGGUAACGGGGGCCUGGGCUUUGGUUUUUGGUUUGGUGGCGAAGCAAAGAGGUUCCAUUACGCU